AUAUUCAAGCGGUUGUUCCGUGUUUACGCACACAUUUAUCACUCUCAUUUCCAAAAGAUUGUGAGCCUCAAGGAAGAAGCACAUCUCAACACCUGCUUCAAGCAUUUCAUUCUUUUCACUUAUGAGUUUGGGUUGAUCGACAAGAAGGAAAUCACCCCGCUGCAGGAGCUGAUUGAGUCCAUCGUUCUAUAAGUUUGUUACUAAUCUAAAGCACUUAAAUGAUCUUUCAGGUAAUCAAUCUUAUUUCACUGCUAAGUU